CUGCCCCUGCUGCAGUCCAGAUUUAUAAGAGCCACAGAUCCUAGGCACUGGUUUGGCACAAGACUUCCCGAGCAGGACAUGUAACCCACAAAGUUUAGCCAGUAUCCAGGGCUGCUCACAGCUUUGCUUCUUGUGAGAUUAAACGACGAUGAUGGUCUUAAAAUGGUUUUACCACAAGAAAACUGCCCCACAAGGAAUACACCUGUUGUCUUCCCCUGAGGCCUCACACUGCCAGUCUGAGGAGUUUACAACUAAAUGAUAGAUCCAGAGGGUUUACCACAUGAUCAUGGGGAAAAAAUACAGAUGUGUUUGGAGAAGAGGUUCUCAGCCACUCAAAGAUAGCCUGAUGAAUUACGAACCACACUGAAUGUACCCUCACCUGAUGAAAGGUCUCGAGAUGGCCAGGACGGUCCGGAUGAACCACGUCGGGUGAGCGAUGAGGAGACACUUUAGAUUCUUCCUCAGUCUGCAGGAGACAUUCAAGUGUUUGUGAUGCUUUCCUCCUUCUAAUAAUCAUUUCAAUCAUAAUAUCAUCAUUUAUCUUUAGCAUCAACAACAUUAGUUUUACAUUCUUGACUCUAUUGUCGAUUCCAUCACAUUUGCCCUAACUGUUUUGAUAUGUUGUCCGUCUUACUUCCUGUCAAUCAUCUGGUAGCAUCUCUUCAGCCAGCUGAUGCCGGGCAUCUUCCUGCGAGGAGUCGCUCCGUUCAGGUAAACAAUCAUGUAAUCUUCUGCCACCAGCAGCUCCAGGCUGCUCACAACGUACCUGAGGACAGAGCAAACAAGCUCAGAUCGGACUCAAGACUGUACAGUAACAUACAAGAUGAAAACUCUUUACUUGACCGAAUUCCUAUGUUCACAUUAAGUGGAACCAAUCCAGAUAUGUACUUCACAAAGUAAUGAAGCCAAAAUGAGUGUUGUUAAACGUAUUCAUCUUUCAUCACUAGCAUGUAAUGUUAAUACUCGUUUCAAAUGUGAUUCGACAUGCAUAUUUUAUGGAGACAUGUUCUCCAGUCACGUCCUUUGAUCAAUUAUACAGUGAAGAAAAGAAUAAAGUAGAAGAAUAUCGUUAUAAAAAGGCGCAUAAUACAGCAUGCUACUGUCAAAGAGUCCCCUAAGAGACCAGAGGGGAUCUUACAGGAAGAGAUUCUCCAUGAUGUACGUGUAGUCCUCACAGCCGCUGUCAGGAAGGUGGCAGGCUGCAAACACGAUGAUGGCAUUCAGACCCUCGCCAUAGUAACCUGAAAGAGGAGAGAGAGACACGCACAUUCAGUAUGAUGGUAGCUGUAUUGGCAGAGUUGUAUUUCAGUUGUAUGUUAUAUCAGUCGCUCACAACUUUUCAUUUAAAUGUUUGCUUUCAUUAAUGAUUUGCUUGUUGUGGGUUGGAUCUGGUUAAUGUCAUUAAACAUAUUUUCAAUGUGAAGCACGUGAGUUUCCCUUUCUGCAUGAAAUGUGCCGUAUAAAGAAGUGUGCUUUUCUUUUCUUUCCAUCCUUUACGAGUUCUAAUGUCCUUUUAUGGUCUAAAUGUUGUUUCAGGCUUUUCCACCCUGAUAGGACUAUUACAUUCCUGGUGAACACUUGUAAUAACUGGUACAAAAGCUAUUCAGAAGUUCAAAUAUUUACGUACAAAAAUCCAAAGGCUCUUUUAAUUAUUUUGUAUUCAUGUUUAGCACAGGUGAAUUAAAUGCACUAAGGUUUUUCUAUUAUUUUGUCCACCAUGCACUACAUUUAUAUCAAUGAGAGUAGACAAAAUAAUAGAAACACACGUCAAUAUAAUACAGUUUAAAAACACCACAAACUACGUCCUCUAAAAUGAUCAUAAAGUUGAGAAGUUAGAGAGCAUUUAUAAGAGAGACAAUCAUCCAUCCAUUAUCUGUAAUUGCUUUUAAUCAGGAAGCUGAAGAGCUAUGAAAUAGCAUACCAAAGCCUGGUUGAAAGCAUUUUGUCAUUUAACACAACAGCAUGGUGUUGAGUGCCAAGAGCAAAAACAAGCUCUCCAAGAUAGUUAAUAUUGCAUGGAAGUUGAUUGGCAAGUCAAAGAAAGAACUUUGCAAUAUAUUUGACAGUGCUGUACACAGGAAUGCUGAACACAUAGCUGCAGAUACCUCACAUCCACUACACUCAAAGUCUGAGCUGCUUCCGUCUUACCUUCAAUUUAGAGUCCCAAAGAUCAGCCGCAACAUAAAUAAGAAGUCUUUUAUUCCCCAUGCCAUACAGGCUUUGAACUCAGAAUGACUCCAUUAUAUUUAAAUAACUUUACGUUAUUUUAUAAGAUGUGCUCUCUUUUAUUAUUUAUAUAACGAGUUGCUACAUGCCCAUUGUUCUACUGUAUAUACUGUAUAUUUGCAUGUAUUAAUGAUGUGUUUUGUUAUAUGUAUUGUAUGUAACUUUUCUGUAUUCAUAAGUCAAUGACAAAUUUCCACUGAGGUGGACAAUAAAUAUAUCUAUCUAAGUUGAAUCAACACCGCUCUAAACUCGAAACUCUUCUUCCAAGUUCAUAAUAUUUGCAUAAAAAAACGUACUGCUAUAUCAUCAACUUUGAUCUAAAACUGUUCUGUUAGUACUGGUGUUUCAAAACCCAUUUUGGAUGAAUCCUAACACACACACACACACACACACACACACACACACACGCGCACACACACAAGCUCCCCAUACACACAGACACAGACUCAGGUAUUUAAAUAUAAGAACACACUGGUUUACUAACCUCCAUGUGUAACCACCCUCAGGUACGGUCGAAUGACCUGCAUGUCAAUCCGCUGCUCCUGGUCACCGAUGAUCACUGUUCGCCACAGACGACCUGAGGAGUCUCUCUCCUCUUCACUUUCACCUGGAAGACGCUUGGCAUUGGCCACAGGAGUGUCAUCUGGACACAAGCUCGUUGCCAUUGUUGAGGAACUCCAGCGAGUCGGUCUCAUCAGGAGUCUCGAUGUCGUCUACGUUGAUGUCCAGGUCGUCGGGCGUUUCCAGAAACUCGUCAGACAGCACCGACCCCUCGCUCUGAUCCAGGGACAG